AACGAACGCUGGCGGCAGGCUUAACACAUGCAAGUCGAACGCACCGCAAGGUGAGUGGCAGACGGGUGAGUAACGCGUGGGAACCUUCCUUUUAGUAAAGAAUAGCCCAGGGAAACUUGGAUUAAUACUUUAUACGCCCUACGGGGGAAAGAUUUAUCGCUAAAAGAUGGGCCCGCGUUGGAUUAGCUAGUCGGUGAGGUAAUGGCUCACCAAGGCUACGAUCUAUAGCCGAUCUGAGAGGAUGAUCAGCCACACUGGAACUGAGACACGGUCCAGACUCCUACGGGAGGCAGCAGUGGGGAAUAUUGGACAAUGGGCGCAAGCCUGAUCCAGCCAUGCCGCGUGAAUGACGAAGGCCUUCGGGUUGUAAAGUUCUUUAGCAGGGGAAAAUCAUGAUGGUACCCUGAAAAUAAGCUCCGGCUAACUUCGUGCCAGCAGCCGCCGUAC
rnacentral:rRNA from 1 species